ensembl:snoRNA
GGAGUGUGCUCAGAGCAGGGGACCCGAAGAAAUGGCUCCUCUGUUUACGACACACCCAAUGGGAAUCUGGGUUCAUUGUGACAAGGGGCCAGAAACUGGUGGCCUUACUACAAACAGAGACACCCUACAGGU